AACGAACGCUGGCGGCGUGCUUAACACAUGCAAGUCGAACGUGAAAUCCGCUUUCGGGCGGAGAGUAAAGUGGCGCACGGGUGAGUAGCGCGUGGAUAAUCUACCCCGAGGCCCGGGAUAACUCGCCGAAAGGCGGGCUAAUACCGGAUAAUGUCCCAUUACAAAAGUAGUGUGACCAUAGGAGGCUCUGCUUCCGCCACGGGAUGAGUCCGCGUACCAUUAGCUAGUUGGUAGGGUAAUGGCCUACCAAGGCUACGAUGGUUAGCUGGUCUGAGAGGACGAUCAGCCACACUGGAACUGAGACACGGUCCAGACUCCUACGGGAGGCAGCAGUGGGGAAUAUUGCGCAAUGGGGGGAACCCUGACGCAGCGACGCCGCGUGAGCGAUGAAGGCCUUCGGGUCGUAAAGCUCUGUCAGGUGGGAAGAAACCUCCGUCGAUUAAUAAUUGACGGAGCUGACGGUACCACCAGAGGAAGCACCGGCUAACUCCGUGCCAGCAGCCGCGGUAACACGGAGGGUGCAAGCGUUGUUCGGAAUCACUGGGCGUAAAGGACGCGCAGGCGGUCCGGUAAGUCAGAAGUGAAAUCCGUCGGCUCAACCGACGAACGGCUUCUGAAACUGCCGGACUUGAGUACGGGAGAGGAAAGCGGAAUUCCCAGUGUAGAGGUGAAAUUCGUAGAUAUUGGGAAGAGCACCGGUGGCGAAGGCGGCUUUCUGGACCGAUACUGACGCUGAGGCGUGAAAGCGUGGGGAGCAAACAGGAUUAGAUACCCUGGUAGUCCACGCUGUAAACGGUGAGUACUAGGUGUAGGGGGUACCGACCCCCCCUGUGCCGCAGCUAACGCACUAAGUACUCCGCCUGGGAACUACGGCCGCAAGGCUA
rnacentral:rRNA from 1 species